rnacentral:rRNA from 1 species
UACGUAGGGUGCGGAGCGUUGUCCGGAAUUAUUGGGCGUAAAGGGCUCGUAGGCGGUUUGUCGCGUCGGGAGUGAAAUCCACUGGCUUAACUGGUGGCUUGCUUUCGAUACGGGCAGACUGGAGGUAUGCAGGGGGAGAACGGAAUUCCUGGUGUAGCGGUGAAAUGCGCAGAUAUCAGGAGGAACACCGGUGGCGAAGGCGGUGGUCUGGGCCGGCACUGACGCUGAGGAGCGAAAGCGUGGGUAGCAAACAGG